rnacentral:ncRNA from 1 species
UAUUGUAUGUGUGACUGGCGAAAUGUGGAAUACCACAGGGGAGCACAUACUUAUAUAGCCGUUCGCCUGGGCAAAGUAU